GCUUAGAAGCAGCCAUCAUUUAAAGAAAGCGUAAUAGCUCACUGGUCGAGUCGGCCUGCGCGGAAGAUGUAACGGGGCUAAACCAUGCACCGAAGCUGCGGCAGCGACACUCAGGUGUUGUUGGGUAGGGGAGCGUUCUGUAAGCCUGUGAAGGUGGCCUGUGAGGGUUGCUGGAGGUAUCAGAAGUGCGAAUGCUGACAUAAGUAACGAUAAAGCGGGUGAAAA
rnacentral:rRNA from 1 species